AAGUGCUGCCCGUGGUUUGGAAAGCGGCGGCCUCUGAUCUGUCGCAGUCCGGCUCAGCAGCGGCCCCGCUCCGCGCCUACCCGUCUCCCGGGCGCGCCCUCGGCCCCAGCCGCCCGGGCUGCAGCCGCGCCAUGUCCACCCCUCCGCUGGCGGCGUCGGGCAUGGCCCCCGGGCCCUUCUCCGGGCCGCAGGCUCAGCAGGCGGCCCGCGAGGUCAACACGGCCUCGCUCUGUCGCAUCGGGCAGGAGACGGUGCAGGACAUCGUGUACCGCACCAUGGAGAUCUUCCAGCUCCUCCGGAACAUGCAGCUGCCAAAUGGGGUCACGUACCACACGGGCACGUACCAAGACCGGCUAACAAAGCUGCAGGACCACCUACGCCAGCUCUCCAUCCUUUUCCGGAAGCUGAGACUGGUCUACGACAAAUGCAAUGAAAACUGCGGAGGGAUGGACCCCAUCCCUGUCGAGCAGCUGAUUCCAUAUGUGGAGGAAGAUGGCUCCAAGAACGAUGACCGGGCCGGCCCACCUCGCUUCGCCAGUGAUGAGCGACGAGAAGUCGCUGAAGUAAAUAAAGUGAGUUACUGCUGCCUGUGUCUUACACUUCAGGUUUCUAGACAGAAAUUACGCUGGAGGCUAAUGGAACUCAGAAGCAUAAUUUGAGUUAUAUGACGUUUUUCCUGACAAACUCAGCCUAUUCAUCAUUCAGCUGAGAACUGAAAGAAACUCAAACAGAAGAAUCAACAGCUGAAGCAAAUUAUGGAUCAAUUACGAAAUCUCAUCUGGGAUGUAAAUGCCAUGUUGGCAAUGAGGAACUAAACUGAUAUUUAAAUUUCCUGUCCUGUAUGUGCUAUAUCAUUGUUUUUUCCUUCAAGUAUUUUUUCCCUUUGAAAAAGAUUAUUUAUCUGCUUUUUAGUCACAAGAACUAAAGUUCCUAUUUUUACAUUGUAGCUUUACAUUAAAGUAUUCAUUAACUUUUUUUAAGGCUAUUGAUCCUCUAUAAAAAAACUGUAAUAAA